CCUACGGGUGGCAGCAGUGGGGGAUAUUGCACAAUGGGGGAAACCCUGAUGCAGCGACGCCGCGUGUGGGAAGACGGUCUUCUGGAUUGUAAACCACUGUCCCCAGGGACGAAAAUGACGGUACCUGGGGAGGAAGCUCCGGCUAACUACGUGCCAGCAGCCGCGGUAAUACGUAGGGAGCAAGCGUUGUCCGGAAUUACUGGGUGUAAAGGGAGCGUAGGCGGCAAGGCAAGCCAGAAGUGAAAGGGCAGGGCUCAACCCUGUACAUGCUUUUGGAACUGUGGUGCUAGAGUGCAGGAGAGGUAAGUGGAAUUCCUAGUGUAGCGGUGAAAUGCGUAGAUAUUAGGAGGAACACCAGUGGCGAAGGCGGCUUACUGGACUGUAACUGACGUUGAGGCUCGAAAGCGUGGGGAGCAAACAGGAUUAGAUACCCCAGUAGUC
rnacentral:rRNA from 1 species